GGCUAGGAAAGAGGAUUAUUACAUUCCUGAAUAUACAAGCAGUUUCUUUUUAAUCCUGGCACGCGUUUAAUAAGCGCGGCGCAUUGUUCGUUCUGUCAGACUGGAAGGUGGUUGUUAACGUUGCCGCUCGGAGCGACUCAUUUCUCGCUGCCCGUAAAGAUCUUAAAAACUUCUCGCGGAAAUGACCGCGAGAGAACGCUUUUCGCCAUAUUGUCGCUUCUGUCCGACCCAUGAAAACACCGUUCGUGUUAACUAUUGCAAUUAAAGUGCGGAAUAGCUGAGUACUCUCGCCGCUGAGCCUGUGCGUUGUGCGCGUUCUAAUUGUUCACUGUUUUUCAUUAAUAAUUCUAAAACAUAACUUUAUCGUGGUGAAGUAAAAAGUUGUUUAAAAUCAUUCCAAUUAUCAUCCCCACAACGGACGUCAACUCAUAGCCGAACAUCCCGUACGCUUUGUAUACAACGAACAUAGAUAAUUCCCGUUUGACGAUCUAAAGGAACAAACGUCUACAGAGUGGAGAAUAGCAGAGAAAAGAGUGUUGAGUUCGUCGAGGAUCAAUCGUUGUUUGAUCUCAGGUGUAUUGCAGUGGCAGUAGUACAAGUCAACGAUCGGUGAGUCGCAUGCUUUAUGGUUCCUCCGAUCCUCAUUGUGUCGGUUCGAAACGACACGGGGACUGGUUGUAUUUUUUAUUAUCUUUACAAACGAGUAUAGUGACUAUGAAUAUUAUUACGUAUUAUAUAAAUAUGCCAUUCUAACGUCACUAUGCCCGUUAUUUAUACAUAUAUGCUGUUUAUUUCUAUAGAAAAUUGUACGAAAAUCUCGAUAUCGUAUUAUCGUAUUAUUUUCGUGUUACGAUUAUUCUGCUCGCUGGUGCACGAUUAUGGCGGUACACACGAAUAAGUUUGAAUACGUUCGAAUACUUUCGAACAAUUUUCCUGUGAUUAUUUACAGAUGCAACCUUUGUUCUAUAUUCUAUAUACUAUUCGAUAUAGUAUACCCGUGGAAAUGAUAAAACACUCUGCUUUCAUCGAAACGGAUAUAAUUUAUUCCGCACGAACGAUUUGUGUAGGCAGGAAUAAACCGAAAAUUGAAAAAUAUUGGAUAAUUUACAAACGAAUCGCGGCGCACUUGGUCAGCUACUAUGUUUCAAUCGACAGUGUUUUUUGUUUCGUUUAUCCAACCCUCUGCUCGUUUUUCUAUUUUUUCUCAUUUCGGUCUUCACGUUUGCAUUGAAAUCGAAAUGCUGGCUAUAAAUUAGCGACAUUGGCAUCGCGAUGUCUCGUUCAUGAAUUAUUUGCCGUUUUAAUUGUAGUACGUGCCGUUCAAUUGGUAAUGAAUGUUUCCUUUUUAUCGAAUUCGAAACAAGUCCGUUUCCUUCGCUUUUGUCCAUUCGUUUAUUCCCAUCUUUUAUAAUAAGAUAUAUGAUAAUCACGUUUGCUUCGUAACUGUAAAUUAAUUAAUUUUUAUUUUCACUUCUUCAUCAUAGCAAAAGGUCCAUCGAGUUGGACGGUGGAUCGUUAAACAAACAUUCGACUGUUUUUGUAGCGAAAACAGAGGAACUGAAGGAUUUCUGAUCUCACAAAUUCGAGAUUCCUAGUCGAGCUUCCAAUUACUUUGUUUCGACGUUCAUCUACAGCGAUUCGAGCGUAUCGUUCGUCACCCUCGAACGAACACUUUGUCCCUCGACUAAGCUAUGUGGUUUCAUAACUUUCAUAAUAAAUCCUGCAGCGACACAGUUCACCGAUUUAUUAAUUCAUCUUUUUCUAAGUUCGAUUUCAUCUAUGAUUCCGUUCCGUUCCGUUACCCAGUGAUUUAUCUCACCCUUUGUGAAAAUUUUAGAAAGCUCUAUUGCAUUGAAUUUCAUAUUAAUCUGCUUAAUAACGUCGCGUUUAUUUUGCUUAUAAAAUCUAGCCUCACACGAGAAAUACGGUGUAAGUGAAUGAAAGGUUUAUCGGUAACUCUUGUUCUCGUUUCAUUGAUGAAAUUUGUAAAGGUUAAUUUUCCCGAUAUAGAUUUCCUUUCGAAAUUGAAUGGAACGAGGUCGAAUUGAAAAAAAUAGUUAAAUUUAACCGAAAUCGUAAUACAAUUAGAUUUUGAUCGUCAAUCAAGAAGAAGGAUACGUUUCUCUGGAAUCGAGUGAAACGUGGUUUUAAACUGCUUUCGAUCGAUCGAAAGUGCGAUUCGAGGUACAGAAGGGAAAGAAACUGAGAACAUCGAAAGGAAGUUUCCAAGUUUGCGAAUUGCAUCGCUUCCAUUUCCUGCCGGCAUUAGCAGUUGAUUAAUUAAUAAUGAGAACGUCGCGUCGCGCUAUGAAACUUUUCCAACAUCUUUCCUUGUCCACUGAUGCAUCUGCUAUAUAGACGUUACGACCCCAGCUAUGGUAACAGUUUGAAACGAAUAAAAGAAGAAAAAAAAAAAUGAUUAGAUUUUUUACCGAUUACCUAAUUCACUUAUUAAUCCAAAAUUAGAUUAACUAAAUGAAAUAGGUUGAUAUGUUCCCAAGUAUUAAUAAUCUGUAUUGAGUUUGAAUGGUCAAUUUUGUGAAGGAAAGUAGUCAAGUGAAACAUGUGAAUAUUAAAACAGACACGUGUAAUGCAACUUGCCAAACGAUUGUGCACAUAAAAAUAUUAACGUUUCGACAAUCUAGCUUUUAAAUAUCUGUAAUGGACAAAUUAUGGUUUAAUGUAAACUGACUGUACGGAUAAUUACGUCUUUUUAGUGUAAUUUCACGGGAUUGAAAAUUUACUGCCAGUGAAACUCGAUCUGUUUGCCUCGUUAAAUACGAACGGUUCGUUGCUUCCUCUUGUUCGAUGGUUGCUUGAUGAAAAACUCAAUGUACACAUUGUGAAUAUUGAUUUACUUUUCAUCGUAUUGAAAUUCACUUCGUGAAUUUUCUAUCUAUCUGUUUACAGUUUUCGGAGUGGAAAGAAUCGUGUCUAACGAGGCCUCUUUGUAAGGGGAAUAAUUAUAAGAAAUGAAUUCGUUGACCGGCACAGUAGAAAGAGCCACGAUUAAUGGGAUAGUAGGAUUAGUCAAGGAUAUUAAGAGUUAGAAAAUUAUUUUUCAUCUAACGGUGAAAUUUGAUACAAUUCCGAAUGGGCUACGUAUUAAUUGGGUGGUGGAUAAUUUUAACAUACCUACCUAUUGAAAAUAGAAAAAGAAGGAAGAAAAGAAUAAUGGCAGUGACUCGUGACAGAUAAGCGCAUAGACUUUCCUAAAGUGUGUUUAAGUUUAGUUAGUCGAUUCGUUCUGUAAGUAUUUAGAUGAAAACGGGCAGAAAUCCUUCUCGUAGGCAGGUCGGCAGAAAGUUUUACCCCUUAAUCGUGCCGUAUCUCGGGAAAGUUGCUUGAAGCGGGCAACAAAUCGGCUUUAAAGGUGUAUGCUAUUAUAUAAAAGAGAUUUCGUGCUGUAUCCUCGUUGCGUAUACUUUCAUAUACUUGCGAGAGUGGCCCGAGACUGCAUUAAACUUGGCGAAUUCAUGCCUAAGGGUGUACAUCCUUUGAUCCUGCUUUAUACACGAUGUAUCUAGGUCUAAAGCGGAGAUUUUAAUUUAAUCUCCGAGCGUGCUCGCUUAUACGUACGGGCGCGAAAGAACGCGUCCUAUGCGAGAAAUUAGUUUCCUAUUUACAUGGAAAUUUUGAUCAACCGGAGUCACUCGGAACAGAGCCGAACAAAGCCGAAGAAAAACGAGAAUUUUACUUCUCAUUUGGUUAAAUUCAACAAUCAUUGAACUUACGAUUAAAGUGAAGAGAAAUAAGGGAGAAAAAACUUAAUUACUGCUCGUUGAUUGAAAUACUUUGAAGAAAAUUAAUUGCUUUAAGCUUGCAUCGAAUUGCAUUCGAUCCUUACAUUGGAUGAAAAACUUAGCAGUGUAGUUUCCGAGAGAUUUUAAUAAAAAUAAGUUUGCGAUUCGGUGUGUCGCGUCGCUGUUAUUCUGAUAGGAUCAACGUAGAAGAAUGAAAGAGAAUCGGUCGUUGAACGAACGUGUUUGCGGAAUCAAUUUUAGAGAGAAUCGCGAUCGUUGGGCGCGAGUUAACGAGCCGUGUCUCAUUUGUUGCAUUACCAGGACAACGAACGCGUAAUAUAUCGUUUAAUGGCCGAUCGAUUAAACGCUGUACCAAGCGCGUCCCAUACUCGUUAUUUAAACGAAAUUCGUGUUAUAAUACCUACCUCUUUCCGUACGAUCUCGCAACGUUGCGUUCCAAAGCAAUCGGACGAUUCGAUCGGAACUAUCGGAACUAUCGGUCGAAUGGGGAAACACGUUAUCGAAAACUACGGUGAAUCUGUGUAGCUGAGGUAGUUGGAACACGAUAUUGCAUUUUAACGAACAGAAAAUUGCUCCUUCUCGUCGUCGUUUUCGUUGUCAUCGUCCUACAGAGAAGAGAGGGUUCAGGUUUAAAAGAGAAAUCGUAUAAGCUGGGUUGGCACGUUGCAAUCCGGUCGUUGUACCAGCAUCUACAAAGAAACGAGAAAGGUGUAAAUGGUGGCGAAGGAGAUUGCCCGACUUUCAAGUAACCGAAGGAAAAAGAUACGAGAGUGGAAAGAGUCAGAUGCGUCGUCGUAAAUCGUACAGCUUUAUGGACGAUAUUAAACACGUUAAGUACUCGUGUAACUUUCAGGUAAUUACCAGAUUUCUUGCCUCAAUUUAUUACUUUCUUAUCGUUUUCAUUAUGCGCCCAUUCUCACUUGACUGACUCGUAUGUCUGAUAGGAACGUAGAUAUAUUUACAUACUUUGGUACAUAGAAAUAGGCUGUUUCUCUAAAGUCUAAAGGAACAACCGUGCGAACCAUUUGUAAUCGCACAAAUUUACACGGUUACAUACACAGAUGUGGGGUAGUUUCGUCGUGCCUAUGAAGAGCGCAUGCUUGUUACCCCUUCCAAGUGUCGGAUGAGCUUGAGAUCUGCCGAUCGAUAGAUCGUGAGCACUCUGAUCUCUCCGGGUGUCUAGACCAUACGUGUUUUGAAAGAGGGAUUCCGCAUAGGGAAACACGGGGCAUAGCUCGAGUCAAAGUGACAUUCGACCGCAUAGCAAGACGGCUAGUGCUCGCAGUUAUUGUUCGCGUUUCAAACUGACGAGUCGGCGAUCGAAACUGUAUCACGGCACUGCUGCGUCUCGAAAUCACGAUUUCGAAAUCGGAAGUUUAACACCUGAGGGAUCAGAGUCAAGUAGGUAAACUCUCCAAGUUUUUGUGCAUUCGAAGAUCCGAGAAACGAGAUCCACUUAAUUCGAAGAGUAGCUCUCCCAUCUCGUGUAUUUAACAAGUGUCAUACGAGCUUAAUUCUCAAGGGUCCAUUAUUCACUCACUGCCGAACUCGGACAACUGUAGGCUGUAAUUUGGAAAUUGGUGAAUUCGCGUUAAAGAAAUAAUUUUCCUUUCCAAAACACCACCUUUAAUCUUCUGUGUCGUGGAGUCGAUUCAACGCGUGCCUUCCUUCUCCUCCUGUAAGUAGCUUUCAAACCUAUAGACCAAAUUUCGAGCAUUUCCACCUUACACUCGUUACGAGCAUAAUUUAACGGUCGUACGUCGUUAUUCCGAAAAGUGUCGCAGUAGCUAGAGCCGAGCCACAACAUCGGCAAGAACUAGAGGAAUUUCUUCUAUCAAUAAACAUCUGCGUGUUGUCAUAUUUCGAAUCGCUCCAUGAUCUGUUUUCGUUGCGUUCGCGUGUGUCCUUAGCUCACCCGAGUACAACUGUCGUUUGCGAGUAAUUCAACGUCUCUCGUUGAAACAUUUAAGAAGUAUUGGUAAACAGGUGUCGUAAAUCGUAGCAAGGAUCUAGUGUAAUCGUAGGAUCGUUCAAAGACAAUAACGAGAAAGAACGAACCAAGAAGGCGUAUCGUAAUCCGGUCGUUGCAGCACGUUUCCAAAUAAACGAAGAAGGUGUAAGUGGUAGCGAAGGAGAUUGCGUGAGUUUCGAGGAACAGUAGGAAAAAGAUAUGAAAGUGGAAAAAGUCAGUUCGCAGUCAUAAAUCGUGCAGCUUGCUGCACCACCGUGGAGAUAGGGUGGACCGUAUCCGGAAACGUGAAUCCUCUAUCCAGCGACAUUUUAAGAACUUAAUCAUUCCAUCCCCUUCUUCUCCUUCUCCUUCUCCUCCUUCUCAUCCACCCCUUCUUCUUCUUCUUCUUCUUCGUCGUCGUUAGAAAUGGUUCUUUCAUUAACGCGUAUCGUUUCGCGCAAAUAUCCAGUAUUGUCGAGAGUUGGUCGUCGGAACGAAAAGUUGCGAGACUCGAGGCAAACGACAUAGAAGUUCUUUCGAUAUUGCGAGCAAAGUAAAACUUUUUCUUCAAUCGAACUCCAAGUUAUUCUAAUCAUCAUCGAUACCUCGUGUUCCGGUGCGUAACUUUGGCAGAGCGCUUUGCAAGUCGAGUAUCAGGAAAGUUGAAAAGUCGAAUUGUUCCGGUACCGUAUACGACUUGCAGCCGUGGAAUCGCAUUUACAUGUCAACUUUUCGAUUUUCUCGACGUUUGUAUUUCGGUUAUUUCACUUAUUUCGAUAUUGCUUUUUUAAACUCUCGUUCUCUGCCAAAAACGCACUGCUACCGUUACAGAGCUUUAUUUUACAGAGAAUCAAUUUUGAAUACAUAUUCGUUGAAUAGGCAAGCGUGUAUCGUUCGAACGAAUCACUUUACUUUUUCGGCUAAAUGUUUCUCGAGGAACCUUUCGUCGAAGAGGGUAUUUUAAAAUUAAUUUUAUUAUUAGUCGCAGGAUUAAAUUUUUUUUUGCAACGAUAUAACGAGAUGUUAAUUACUUACCAGUCUUUCAUUACUCCUUCUCACGAUAAUUUUGUAAUUAGACACUAUGUUCUAGUUUCAAAGACAUCCAUCAUUUUAGUAAUCAAACAGGUGUUCGUAGAAAGUUUUCUGUUAUCGUAUCAUCGAUACGCCAUCGCUCAUUUUAUAGAUAUAAUCCAAACGAGUGGAUAAAGUGUACGCAAUACAAUGUCAGGAUUCAUUUUGAUAGCCGUUCGUAAUUACAGAAUGAUGUAUUUAUUUAUUUUUUUUAUUUUUCUUCCAUUUAGGGUUUUUUGUCACAUAAGGUUAUUAGCGAUAUCAAGGAGUAGGUAAAGCUUACAUUAUCUGUUCUAUCAGUUUGGUAUCUUUUACAAAUUUAAGUAAGUCCUGAAUUUUACUGUUUUUUAAAUUGUCCUUGAGUGAAGAUUCUAGUUUAUGUUUGUUGCGGAGGAAAUCAUUUAGUACAGUGGAGGAUUAAAUGAUCUAUUUGUUUCAUUGAAUUUCGUAUGAAAAUCGUAUGAAUGUACUUGAAAGGAGAGAAUCGAUUCGAUCGAAAUUAGACGUGGAUAUUGAAAGUUGCACUGAACGUCGAACAUCGUUUCAAAUUCCCCUACUAUACUGCGACACGUGAUUGCAUAAACAUUUCGUUAACGUCACUACUCGAAUUUCAAUUAUCUCAUGGAGGUAGCCUCAGUCGCGGCACUCUCUCGCAAUUACCCUGUUUAGCGAACAGGACGUGUGUGCCUGUUCGCAAUAAAUCGAUAACCGUUUCAAUAACGAUUGACAACGUGCUGGUGGUCGCGUGACACGCAUUGGGCCCGAUUUAAAUGACAAAGGGGAUUAAUCGUUUCGUUCCUCGGAAUUUUUUAUCACUUCAACCCAACUCUCUGUCAAUAGGUACACACCGAUAGAUCGUUCAUUCCGCUUCUCGACUAUUUACCUUUCUAUUUUUAUUCCUUGACUCACUUUCUCUGAUUUCGACUCUCCUUUUUCUAAGCGAUCCUUGGAAAGUAUUUUUAUUUACUUUUGCCGUUCAAUGAAUUUCCAACCGUCUCCUUCUAUCUAUUACCUGCCUGCAUUACGGAAAUUUUGAAAUUCGAAUCUCAUGAAAUUCGACCGAAAACACUGAGGAAAUUCCCGUUACACUUACUAUAUCGAGAUUUUAUCGUGUCAUCGUCGAUUCAAACGUUUCUGAACGGUUAACCAACGGAACACGCAAGAUAUCGAUAACGUAAAGAUGGACAGAGUCGGUGGUAUCCAUAAUAUGUAGCGGCUUUUCGACCACUUCCAGUUGGUCACUGCCGGCCGUCUUGAGGUUCACUUCGGAAUGGCCCAUAGGAGGCAGACAUUCCUGAGGGAACCGCGAACCUCUAGGAGGAAGUGCUGUGGCGAACCGCGAGUCCGAUCCUGGGAUACAGUUCAAACCGAACGAGCUACUCUCGUUCUACCGAGGGAACAGUUUCCCACUUAGUACUACCUUGAUACCUGGAAACUAACCUGGCAUUGUUCAUCGAAGAACAUCCUAUUGGAAUUGACGUACUACGUUCAACUAUUCGCUCUAUUAAAUGUUCCCUCUUAAAGUUAACGUUGACGAACUUGCGAAUUCCGAAACUUUUUCUUAGUACGACUAAUUAUAAUAUUACGUUAUAAUAGAAACGAUUCAAGAGUUUGUAAGAAAGUUGGCCUAUCUUCAGAUUCUUUUAAUACGUUAAUUUCAAACGAAACAUUAAUACAAUACAGAAUUGAUUUUGUCAUUCAAGUCACGUGGUGAUUAAUUAAAAUUACGAACAUUUUAUAAUACUUUUCUACAGUUGGUUAAAUUGAACGAAUCGAAUGAAAUAGAGACUGUUCCUUAGCAGUACAUUUUCAAAAUGAAAUACUGAGACAGCGGGACGGGACCGAACUAUCUGCAACAUCCACUGUAAAUAUCUUCGACAUUUUCAGGGAAUGAAUUAUAGGAAAUGCCCUCUCGACUGGUCCCGGCUAGUCUGUUUUGCUAUCCUUGGACUGGAGAACGUUUUUUAAACGAGGAAAUGUUACAUGGCGUGUGAAUAAAUCGAUUUUCUGCUUCCAUUCCCUAUCGGUGGAAGUCAGGCCAACUUGCGAGAACGUUCUUACGAUAGUAGAUCUAAGCGUAUUAAAAAAUGAAAAUCAAUUUUUUACCGAGAGUUAUUAAUCGACAAUUUAUUCGCGAUCAAUUGACGUACGCGUAUGGCUUUUAUUUGACUUUGCUUGCAGCGUAUCAAUUUGGUCGAUAUUGACCAGAGAUACCAAAUAUUUAACGCUUUAAUUGCUUUUCGUCGAGCGAUCCAUUUUUCGUUCACUUUCCUUUCUGUUCCAUAUUUGGACCUACGAAAUUGAAUUUCAUUUCUACUGCCAUUGUUUCUUUGUAACACUUCGAAACGAGGGUGAUAGUACGUACAGUCACUUCACUACACGUAGAUGCAAUUCGAGGAGGGAUGGGAAUAGGAGGAAAAAGGAUGGAUAUGCGUGCACAGGAACAUAGCUAAGCGGGUAGAAGUGGUCGUUGCAUCCAACGGGAUUCACCGUGUUAUUGAAAUUGAAAUUUACGACUUUAAUAGAGACUAAGCUUCCGCGAUCAUAAUUCAAGAAAGGUUGCGUGUCCGGCAGGCGUAACUGACAGGAGUCUUCCUCUUUUAACCCCCUUUCGAGCUGGCAACCCUUUUCGACGCGCUGUUCCAUGCGCGCUCGGGUCCUCUGCUUCCGUUUCCUUUGCCCACUUCACUUCUACCCUUUAUAACAGUCUUCUACCUACGUUCCGCUUCUCGAUUCGGCCAGAUAUCCCGUCGAGUAGCUGAAGCCUCGGAUGAUUUAAUACACCCUCUAACCCCUUGACGUUCUACGAAAAAAUAUGUCCGUUCCGUUCUGUAAACGACUGCGCGAAAGUUUGCCCAGCUACGAAAGACGUAUUGUGAGUAGAACGAAAGUGGAGCGAGGAAUUCAUUGGCUUCUAUUGGACAGAAUUUCGAACGACGGUUUAUUUGAUAGCAAAUGAAUUAGUUAUUUACGACUUCUCAUUUCAUCUAAUCGGUAGCUACUUCUCGAUACGACAAGAUUCCAGCUAAAUGUUUAGGCCUUCCAUAGACUUUGACAUACGUUAUUACCAUCACUGCCAGGAACCGCCUCCGCGAUUUUCACUUUAAUUUAUCUAAUUCAUCAUAUCUUAGUAAAUUAAUUUGUAUAACUUUCCGAGGGGUCCACCCCAAAAUCUCGACAGCCCAAAAACCCUAACCCUAACCCUAACCCUAACCUAACCUAACCAAGAACACGGAAUUUUGGUAGUCGAAAUUUUGGCUAUCGGGAUUGUGGGUGUCGGGAUUUUGGGUGCCACCGCUUUCCGAGAAACCUUAAGUCACUUGGUCCAAUUUUAAACGAAGUAUUCAAUUUCAAACGGUAUAAUAAUAAUAAUAAUAAUAAUUUUUUUAGAAUGAAAUAGAAGGAAUGAAAAAUAGUUUAUUGUUUUAGAGGGAUGUUCGAUUUGCUUAAGUCAAAGUAAAAGAUUUCCAAAAGGUGGACGUGGUAGUAAUUUAAAGAUAAGUGAAAGUAAAUCUCUCGAGAAGAUAAACGAGCAGGAGUAGAAAGAAAAAGUGUACCGCUGGCAUUCAGAGGACAGGUAAACGGUUUCUAAUAACGCAUGGCUCCAUGGCUUGGCCAGUUUCCUCCAACAAGGUCUCCACACACCAAGAGUGACUUCCUCGACACUAUCGGCUUUAUUUACCUUUAUCGUCUCCCUACUCUCUCCACUUUGUGCUCACUUACUCUCUUCCAUUUACUCUUCCACCUACUUAUUUCCUCGUUUUUUCCUCGUCGAUUUUUGUCCUCUUUGAGAUCAAGACUCUUACGCGGCCGGCCUGUGUCACAAAGAGGAGAACCAAUGGUAGCGAAGCUCUUGAAAGAUCGCGAAGGGUUGAAACUUUUACCUGAGCAGCAGGUAAAUGCGCUGGUAAAAAUAUCAAAUUAUUCCGUGAAAUUAAUUUAUUCACGAUCGCACGAUCAAAUAUCCGCGAGGAGUAUGAGAGGGGAAAAGAGAAUUUCGAAAUUCGCUUCACUCGGUGGUAAUCGAUUUACAACGUAAUUGACUGUACGUUUCGAUCGGUUUGAAAAUCGUUGGUUCCCAAUCCUCCAGAUGAGCCCGGUAAAAACCGUUGGUGAGCAUUUUUUUGUUAUCCAGAAAAUCCCCUGUACGCUGGUAGAUUGGCGCAAUUUUGAGAAGCCCCCGGUAUCGAAACGAGGUCGUUUUCCAUAAUCGUUAGGACAAACGGUGCCGUUGAUAACGAGUACCAUAAAUCCACAAACGGUCGUCGAAAUCGGCUCGUUUCCAGUUUGCAACCGAUAUUUCACAGUAGGUAUAAUUUCAUUGUUCCACGCGGGCUCUCGGUAUGACGGAUGAGCAUGUGACAUUCGAUAACGAUAACCGAUGCUGCUUGUCCAACUGGCUGGAUUUAGAGCCGUCUAGACCGUGGCAAGUAAAUUGUUUCAAUUCUGUUUUACAUCAUCCGCGUAUAAUCGCUUUCAUUUUACUUCCUUCGAUUAUUCUCUAUCGUCGCUUACUAAAUAGGUUACAGCGUUCUACCUUCUCCUAGUCGAAUGAUCGAAUUGUGACCUUAUCACGAACAGAGGCAUAGUACAAUUGUUUAAUACUUUAAUUUAUAAAUGUUACUCUAUAAAUACAAAAAUUUAAGUUUUCAGUUGGAUUUAAAUUAUAAAUCAUCUUCAACUUUCCUAUCUCGAACGUUCUCAUUUUUGUAUCCGUAUAAUCUUGCAAACGCAUAGAUCUUAUAGGUCCUUAUUGGCAUACAGACAGAAUCUGUUCCGUUGUAGGUUACGUUUUAUCGUUCUACCAAAUCCAGUGGAACAGCAAUAGGUGUUAUCGAACGGAAACGAUGAUCGAGGAUCGAGAAUGGAGAAGAAAUAUUGUCUCACAAUCGGUAGCACGAAGCGGCCGAGCAAUUAAUUAUUCGAAUUGAGAUUAAUUCACGGUAUCGUUCCAACAAACGAGUAGUUUAACCACGAACGAGCACGAGGAGACGGUUUGCACAGUUUCAAUUCAUUGGCCGAUGUAACGAGCACGGGAACGAGCAGAUUCACCUUCGUAAAUUAAUUAGCAGUUGUAAUUCACUUCCGGCGGGUAAUAACGGGUCGCGGGAAGCAGUUGGCUGGGCUUGGUGGCGAACGCUAAAUGACAAUUUACCCAAAAGCAAAUUCGCCGCUUAUUGUGGAAAGCCGGUACCGGGAUGCUCGUGCCUGAAAACAGCCUCCUGCUAGCUCCUUGUUCGUUCGAGACUUUUAAUUAUCCUCCGGUAAAUUUCGCUUUCUCCGCUUUCUUCUCGCGCAAUCUGCCGCCAACCCCCGACCGAAGAAUUAAUGGUUCGCGAACUCGGGCUCAUCUCGGUCGUCUCCUGCGCCACGUUGCCGUUUUUAAAUUAUUAUUAAAAAGAAACGAGAAAUUUCUUUCUUCCUCCUUUCAAACGUUCGUUCGUUCGUUAACGAGUUCCCAUGGAGAAGACGAAGGAUAUCCGGGACAAACGAGUAGAACGGAAAACAAAGUUCCGAUUUCGUUGCUUGAAACGAGCAGCGAAAAAUGCCAUGACGUUUUUGAUUCAUCACCCGUCUCGUUCGCAAUUUAUUCGUUCAAAGAUAACGUCACAGGGAAUAAAUCAUUUGGAAGAAUUACUCGAUUUGAUCGUUAUGCUCUAGCCAUCGUAUACUCGGGUAAAAAGCUUCGAGUCCUUAUUAACCUAUGCCUCAGCUUUUUCUCUGUUUAAGCGGGACUUUUUAAAUUAAUCAACGACGAUACGCUCGUAAUUUGAAAUGAAAUAUCGUUAUACGUAUCGUAACCUUCCUGCAAGAACGAGAAAUGUUACUAAAAACGUUAAUAAAGCGCACGAUUCGAAUAUACCGUGUGCGAGGAGCAGCCAAUAUUCGUUCGCAAAAUUUCAUUUCAUUUUCAACGCUUCUCUUGUAUUCUCCAUAUUUAUUGCACACCGUCCCAUUCGACUAUUAUUCAUUUUCAAAUUUCACCAAUUUUCUACGCGAAAAAAUACCUCUUCCAUCACAUUUUUAAGCGUUCCUCUGCUGUAGAGUAAUAAAUUUAUAAGCACAAAUAUCUUCUAGCCCCCGAAUAUACGUGUGUGAUACAUAUAUCCUUAGAAAAAUAUAUUCGAUACGCAGUUCCAUUAUAUCGGCUUAAAAAAGAUUUCGAAGCGCAGAAGCUUUUGAUCCGACAUUUUUCUCCGCUGGGUGACGAUUUUCCCAGCUUUCCAUCUCGCGUGUGAAUUAAAUAUGUGUAGAAGCGCGCUAGUUUGUUGAAUCAAUUCGGUCCACGUACACAGAGGAGCUGUUCUCGAUAUUCGUUCCAUCGAUCGAAGUCCUGCGUCAAUGGUCAUUGUAUUCGACUAGUCUAUUGGAACGGUGCUGCGCGCCAACAAGAUUGCCAACCGAUAUAUACAUAUAUAUUCGCGCGAUUUUUUCCGAGAGGGAAGAAGCGUAAAUAACGCCGGUAUCUCGAUGACUGCAAGUGAAAAUGCUCUUGGAUGAACUCUGUGUCGCCGAGUUCUUUUUAUCCUCUUUGCCUGGAGUAACAGGAAGAAGGCCGGCGACAAGAAAUACGAGGACACUUUGUACUCUUGAUCGAGAUAUAAGCAAUAAGUGGAAGAUAACGAGAGAAGAGGGUAAGGUGAAAGUAUAAGAAAAAGGAGAGGUGCAAGAACCACCUCGAGGAUCACUCUUGAUUCGUUGUAAUGGAUGUUCGGUAGACUCGAAUAUCGGGAACCAUACGGUAUUCCAUCUUCGGUAAAUUUUCAAGAGAAACAUUGCGGAAUGUUUCGAUGAAGAAAAUUGAAAGAAACGAAAGAAAUUGUUAGAAGCACCAGGUAGACAAGCUUCCUAAAUUGAUUCAGAGCGAUUACUCGUUGGUCUGAAGUAGAAAUAUGGCGGCGAAAAGCGAAGCGUCGGGAGGGGUGAAAGUUUAAAGCGCGACUGGUGGGUAAUUUUCGCUUCAUUAAAGGCAAUUUAACGGAGUACACUCUGGGAGAAGCGCGAGGAACGAGUAAGCUCGAGUGGAGAUCUCGGAUAUCUCGUUAGGUAGCUACGUGUCUGGGAACAUCGAGCUUUGCUGACGCGAUUACAUGAUACGUCGACACCGAUAGGUCGAGGAAGCGGUGACAGACGUCGAGCCGGGUGAAACGCUUUUGUCAUGGCUAGAUAAGCGAUCGCGUCGAAAUUUCCGCGUGAAACGCGGCUACAACGCCUGUGAUAAUGAUGGUAACCGCACCGCCAAAAUUAUACCCACCAUGAUAAUCGCAUUAACCUUGCCCCGUUGUUGACCCGCAGGUCUCGUUACCUGGACGACCUCUUGUUUCGAAAAUCGUCUCAUUUUUUUUAUCGAUAAUUGGCCAAUUCCGAUGGAUAUUUCGAAAUCGAAAUGAAAAUACUUUUGAAAUUGAUAAAACAGGGAAUUGAACAUUUUUCUUAGUACUUGAGAUUAGUAUAAACUGAAAAUUUUUCGAAGAAUCGAAAGAUCGCAUCGAUUGUAUUUUAAUUCGAGCUACUUUUUAACUGGGAUACGAUAUAGCAGGUUCGCUUAUUAUUUUUCAAUUUCCUUCUUCGUUUGAAGUAUUGCAACGAUAUUGAAUAUUUCCAGGCCAUCAUGAUAGCAUUAACCAUGCACGUUCGCUCCGACUGCGAAUUUUUUAAUAUCGUUAAUAUUUAAAUGUCCCGUAUCGAAUAUGCAUGGAAGUAAAUAUCGAGUGUGUGUCCGCGAUUCCAUUACCGCGUUUGCCCCCAAUUCACGGGUUCGUUAUUUCAUUCGUUAUUUCAUUCGUUAAUUUUUAAGCUCACAGCUCGUUCGAAUUCCUGCUUGCCACGGUUCGUGAAAUUGUUCCCCCCCCCCCCUUUGGGAAAUUCGCUAAACCAUCUUUCAUCGACUGAAUGGCUAGCCGUGAAAUAGUUUUCGCGAAUGGAACGAAAAGUGGUAUUUAUUGUGAACUUUAAUAACGAUGACAAUUAAUAUACGUACAACUACUGUAAGUUUGUAGGAAUGUUUGAGAAGAAUUGUUUCGCGAUCGAACAACAGCUGUUAAGUAAAUCGAUCGAUCGUUUCUAGCGUUUAACGGUAAAUCAGAACUAACGAAGAAUUCAAGUUUCAUUUGGGAAUAAUUGGUCGGGCGACGGGCGGAAGAUCGACGGAAGCAUUGCUGGAAAUUUCGAAAUACUCGUAGACGGAAGAGGUAGAGUGUGCAGGCGCGAUUAAUUAAUUGCACAGUGUGCAUCGAGCGAGUCGUGUUUGACGUCUCUUCGCUCGUACCGCGUGUACAGCUCGUGCAAAACAUCCGCGUGCUUGUGCCAGAUUAGAUGAAGUAAAUUCAGUGGUUUUUUUUUCCUCUUGCUCUCUAACGUUAUAUACGUAUAUAUAUAUCUCCCUCUUUCUCUGGCUCUCGGUUGGCAUGUCGAGUAUCAACAUUUCCCGUCUCCCGUACUCGACGCAAACCACCCUUGUAACGCGGAGUUCUUUAACGAACGCCAUCUAAAUUUAGCCGCGAGGUAAUCGUGAUGUAACCCGAAGAUUAUUUUACAUUUCACCAGCGAGUGGAAUUUUUAUCACGCGUGCACACUUGUUGGACAAGUAGAGGGAAUUUCAGAGAUUGUCUGCACGUUUAAGCGGAGUACACGUAUCCAUACGUAUCCUAGAAUAAUGUUGGUCAAUUGAUUUCAAUUUUUCUCUACACGUUUCUUGUACAGUCUCAUUUUCCAUUAACCUCAGUUUUAACGAUAUUUCAUUUCCAAGAAGAAUUCGAUUCAAACAAUUUUUCUUCGGUCUUUCAUUGAAAGCGUUAAAUUAUUCCUAUGAUACACAAGCGACAACGUGUCAGGGUUAUACAAAAAAAAAGGAACAAACGAUCGCUUAGAAUAACAAAUUGCGAAGAUUUAGAGCGGUCGAGACAUUCGUGUCGAGAAUUCAAAAAUAAAGCCGUACAUCGUUUGAGUUGGUCGCAGACCCUCGACAAGCUACCGGAUUACCAUAAUUCCAAAGCUUUUCUUCUUAUCCGCCACUUUCAAAGCGACAGUCGCAGAAACUUUGAGAGGAUGCAAAGGCCAGCCGUGAAGGGGUGGCAAGUAGGGAGGGUAAAGAAACGAAGGAGAAUAAUAUUCGAGACUUUAGCUCAUCCAAGUAAUCCAUUUCUUCCUCGUUAUAUUACUCCAUGUUCUCGACGUAAUUUCACAAGAUACCCUGUAUAGAAGCACGCUCGGAAAUUCUUGAUGCACGAAAAUUACGCGAUCUUACGGCUUGUCUCGUUCCCCUCGUUCUCUAUUUCGGCAGUUUUCCCUAAUUCGCAAAAAAACGUCACGUUGAUCGGAGAAGCGAUUGAAGAAAGCUGCUAGACGUUGGAAAAUGCAUCCCGGUGGCGUUGAAACGCGGGCAAAACCACGUGUGCACUCUUCAUCUUACUCGUUGGUAAAAGAAACGACGAAGGCGGGGACGCGUUCGUCGAUCGAAGGCUCGUUAACCGGUACGAAGUGUAAGUAAAAAAA